AUGAACCCAUCAGAGAUCUUGAAUGUCAGAUUCCACUUUGGGGGGCAAUUCAUUAGGAUUGGUCCAAGUCUUGAUUAUGUUGGAGGAGAUUCUGGAAUGUCAGAGAUUGAGCGUGACAAGCUCUCUUUACAGGAGGUGAAAGGAUUUGUAGGAGAUUAUAUGGCAGUGAAGGAGAGCAUGAAGUAUUAUUUCUUGUUGCCUGGCAGCAAUUUGUCAAAUGGAUUACUCUUUUUACAUGAAGAUGUUGGCUGCAUGAAGAUGUCUGAAUAUAUUACAGAUGGAGGAGUUGCUGACAUAUAUGUGGAGUAUAAUGGUGAACGAGAUUAAAAGGAAGAAAUAGAUAGUGGGUCGGAUUUUGAAGAUGAGCUUGAUGAACUGAUGAAAAUGGGCAGUGAAGAAGAACCUGAUGUAGUUAUCACAGCAGAAGAGACUACUGCAGUUAAUCAUAAUGUUGCAGCAGUUAAUGAUGAUCUCAAUGUCAUUGAAGAGAGUGAUGUUGAAGGAGAAAUUCUUGAGCAUAUCCUUGUUCCUGAUGUAGGUGUUGUGAUCAAUCAAGUGAUAAGUAGUCCACUAAAGCAGAAUGUGAGAGUUGAUUAUCCUAGUCAGAGUUCUCAAGUUUUGGAUCUAAGUCAACCAUGUGCAGCAACACAAGACAUAUAUUGUUCACUGCCAGAGGUGGCACCAAAUGCUCAAGAAGUUGCAGAAAAUUCUUCAGAUUCAAAUGACUCAGAGAACUGUGAGUAUGUGCCACAUACUGAUGAUAGCAGGGAAGAAUCAGAGGUUGUAGAGUUGAGAAAACACGCAAGAAAAUUCAGGAAGAAAAAUGAAAGGUUCCAAGAUGUGGGCUGA
rnacentral:rRNA from 1 species